rnacentral:rRNA from 1 species
GAUGAACGCUGGCGGCGUGCCUAAUACAUGCAAGUCGAGCGAACGGACGAGAAGCUUGCUUCUCUGAUGUUAGCGGCGGACGGGUGAGUAACACGUGGAUAACCUACCUAUAAGACUGGGAUAACUUCGGGAAACCGGAGCUAAUACCGGAUAAUAUUUUGAACCGCAUGGUUCAAAAGUGAAAGACGGUCUUGCUGUCACUUAUAGAUGGAUCCGCGCUGCAUUAGCUAGUUGGUAAGGUAACGGCUUACCAAGGCAACGAUGCAUAGCCGACCUGAGAGGGUGAUCGGCCACACUGGAACUGAGACACGGUCCAGACUCCUACGGGAGGCAGCAGUAGGGAAUCUUCCGCAAUGGGCGAAAGCCUGACGGAGCAACGCCGCGUGAGUGAUGAAGGUCUUCGGAUCGUAAAACUCUGUUAUUAGGGAAGAACAUAUGUGUAAGUAACUGUGCACAUCUUGACGGUACCUAAUCAGAAAGCCACGGCUAACUACGUGCCAGCAGCCGCGGUAAUACGUAGGUGGCAAGCGUUAUCCGGAAUUAUUGGGCGUAAAGCGCGCGUAGGCGGUUUUUUAAGUCUGAUGUGAAAGCCCACGGCUCAACCGUGGAGGGUCAUUGGAAACUGGAAAACUUGAGUGCAGAAGAGGAAAGUGGAAUUCCAUGUGUAGCGGUGAAAUGCGCAGAGAUAUGGAGGAACACCAGUGGCGAAGGCGACUUUCUGGUCUGUAACUGACGCUGAUGUGCGAAAGCGUGGGGAUCAAACAGGAUUAGAUACCCUGGUAGUCCACGCCGUAAACGAUGAGUGCUAAGUGUUAGGGGGUUUCCGCCCCUUAGUGCUGCAGCUAACGCAUUAAGCACUCCGCCUGGGGAGUACGACCGCAAGGUUGAAACUCAAAGGAAUUGACGGGGACCCGCACAAGCGGUGGAGCAUGUGGUUUAAUUCGAAGCAACGCGAAGAACCUUACCAAAUCUUGACAUCCUUUGACAACUCUAGAGAUAGAGCUUUCCCCUUCGGGGGACAAAGUGACAGGUGGUGCAUGGUUGUCGUCAGCUCGUGUCGUGAGAUGUUGGGUUAAGUCCCGCAACGAGCGCAACCCUUAAGCUUAGUUGCCAUCAUUAAGUUGGGCACUCUAAGUUGACUGCCGGUGACAAACCGGAGGAAGGUGGGGAUGACGUCAAAUCAUCAUGCCCCUUAUGAUUUGGGCUACACACGUGCUACAAUGGACAAUACAAAGGGCAGCGAAACCGUGAGGUCAAGCAAAUCCCAUAAAGUUGUUCUCAGUUCGGAUUGUAGUCUGCAACUCGACUACAUGAAGCUGGAAUCGCCAGUAAUCGUAGAUCAGCAUGCUACGGUGAAUACGUUCCCGGGUCU